rnacentral:tRNA from 1 species
GCAGUCGUGGUUCAGUGGUAGAAUUUUCACCUUCCAUAUGGAAGACCUGGGUUUGAUUCCUGGCUAAUGUA